GAGUUUGAUCCUGGCUCAGGACGAACGCUGGCGGCGUGCUUAACACAUGCAAGUCGAACGGUGAUGAUGGGGCUUGCUCUGCCUGAUCAGUGGCGAACGGGUGAGUAACACGUGAGUAACCUGCCCCCGACUCUGGAAUAACCGUGGGAAACGACGGCUAAUACCGGAUAUGAGACGCACGGGCAUCUGCGUGUCUGGAAAGAUUUAUCGGUCAGGGAUGGACUCGCGGCCUAUCAGCUUGUUGGUGGGGUAAUGGCCCACCAAGGCGACGACGGGUAGCCGGCCUGAGAGGGCGACCGGCCACACUGGGACUGAGAUACGGCCCAGACUCCUACGGGAGGCAGCAGUGGGGAAUAUUGCACAAUGGGCGCAAGCCUGAUGCAGCGACGCCGCGUGAGGGAUGAAGGCCUUCGGGUUGUAAACCUCUUUCAGCAGGGAAGAAGCGAAAGUGACGGUACCUGCAGAAGAAGCGCCGGCUAACUACGUGCCAGCAGCCGCGGUAAUACGUAGGGCGCAAGCGUUGUCCGGAAUUAUUGGGCGUAAAGAGCUCGUAGGCGGUUUGUCGCGUCUGCUGUGAAAACCUGAGGCUCAACCUCGGGCUUGCAGUGGGUACGGGCAGACUAGAGUGCGGUAGGGGUGACUGGAAAUUCCUGGUGUAGCGGUGGAAUGCGCAGAUAUCAGGAGGAACACCGAUGGCGAAGGCAGGUCACUGGGCCGCAACUGACGCUGAGGAGCGAAAGCAUGGGGAGCGAACAGGAUUAGAUACCCUGG
rnacentral:rRNA from 1 species